CUUUUCUGCAGUGACCUUUCAUCUGUGAGGGCAGACUGUGUUCGGCAGGAGUGGUCAGCAUACUCUGUGAUAGGGUUAUCUGGGGAAUGAGGUGCUCUUUCACUUUCUUCAUUAACAGUUUUGUAAUGUAGAUCAUGCACUGUGGAGAGCUCAACAGUGAAGUUUCUAGAGGCAUCGGAAACCAUCCACUGUUUCUGGUAUUGGAGGCUCUAUCACCUCUGUAAAUCUUCUGAUUGAUGAAACCCACGGAGAUGGAGUUCUUGAGUAGCCAAGAGACUGCUCUUGGGUUCUUUCAUUACCACUGAGUUGUUUGUUACAAGUUAUUUGAUCCUAAACUGUUUAUUCUAGUUGUGUAAUUCAU
rnacentral:lncRNA from 1 species